CUCGCUUUCCCUUGCUCUUGUGACUGCUGCUCCAGUCUUCCUCAACCUUGCUCGUAACCUCUCCGCAUCUGGACACAAGCCUCGACUGCUGCUCCACCUUUUCUCAACCCUUAAGCUCGACAGCGGCGCACUUUCUUCAGGGUGUUGAAGAGCUUACUGAUGCUGCCAAAGUAACCAUUGGUCCUCCUAAGGAAUUAUGAUUGCUGAUCCCAAAUAAGUAUUGGUUGAUAUCAAGUUUAUUCUGUUUUAGGGGAGCAAUGUGGUGAUUGAGCUAAGUUUUGGUGCUCCUAAAGUGACCAAAGAUGGAGUGACUGUUGCAAAGAGCAUUGAAUUCAAGGGUAAAGUUAAAAUGUUAGUGCCAGUCUUAUUAAGAAGGUUGCAAAUGCAAACAAUGAUGUAGCUGG